UGUUGUUGUACCAUUUUCUCAACCAAACAGAGACCACUCAGUCCUAAAACCUAAUGUCUGACACAUUAGCAGUGUUUUUGAAACUUUCCUUUUCUCUUACACACACUGUAUCUAUUUAUUAUAAUCUACAACAUGGCAAUAGGUGUCACAGUCUGUCAUGUUCUCUCCAGUCACUCCCCUGCACUCUGCACUCCCUCACCAGAGUACUAAUACAAAUCACCUGUCACCUAUCUCACACCUGCAAUCAAUUAGCACUCCACUCUCCUAUAUAACCCAGCUCCUCACCACAGUCAGGGUCCGGUCUUGUUAAUGCCACAGGACAGAACGCUAGUUCCCCUGAUUCGGUUAACACUUUGGACUCAAUCUCCCUGAACGGAUUCUACCACAUACCACCAGUACCCAGUGCCUCUUCUCCGGCUCCUACUUGCUCCUGUCCUCCGUGUGAUUCUCUUCAGCUCCUGGUCCCUUGUGUCUCUUGUCAGCCUUUGACAAUGAGCCUGUCGGACCGAGGCGACCCCACCUCAGUCAGCCCUCUGGGACACACGACCCCACUCAGCCUUCUUAUACUCCGACUGGCCUGCUGAUACACAAUCCUCCUACUGUGAAUGUGCCUCCAGCUUAUUCUGAGGUUUCACCUCUAGCAGAACAGGCAGACACUCCAACUGUUCCUGUCCACUCUGACCUGGAGCUGCGGUUUAAACUGAAGGGGAUGACCUUUCCCUCUGCCCCCCCACUCAGUUCAGACUCAACUUACUGUGAUGUUUAUACCUCAGACAAACUCAACUUCCUCUGAAAGCCUUGAUUUUGAAAGGUACACUGCUUCAUUUGUGUGACGUUUAAGGAAUAGUUCGACAUUUUGGGAAAUAUGCUUAUUCACAAGUGGCUUCUUGAAGUCUCUGCUGGUUGCUUGGCAACUGGUUCUAGCCAAGAAAUAGUCCGGCACAAAACCCCCUGUAAAAUGGUGAAUUGUUGUUUUUACACCUCUUUUUUUAUGGAUUGCCAAACAAGAUAUAACAUGUUAAUUAGGGAGCUUUAUAGGUGCUGGUAGGCAAAUUUAGUAAUUUCUGUACGGAGCCAAGCUAGCUUUUUCCCCCUGUUUCUAGUGUUUAUGCUAAGCUAAGCUAACCAGCUGCUGGCUACAGCUUCAUAUCACUGUACAGACAUGAGAGUGGUAUCAAUCUUCUCACAUAACUGUCGGCGAGAAGCAAAUAUGUGUAUUUCCCAAAAUGUUAAACUCAUGUUACAAUGUUCCAUGGUGCCAAAUUUUGUUAUUUUCAUCUGAAUCAGUCCCAUAUAUUUUAGUUUUACUGAGCAGAGCAUGAGACUUCAUACCCAAUGAUCACAGGUUCAAAGCCAUAGGUGAGAGAGAGAUUUUUUUAAUAAAAAGCAUGUACUCUAAAUCGAGAGUGCCUGCAUUAUUUACAUUGAUUUCCUACCUCAAGAGUCUCAUCAACUUCUCAUAAUACUGAGUGAAUAACUGUCUCAUGCCUGCAGUUCUGUCAGGGAUACAUAAUUUAUUGCAGACCAGCUUGACUGAACAUUUUCAGGGAAGACACAAACAUAAAGUAGCUUUAUCUAUGUAUUUUUCUAUCCUUUGGGAUUUAUCUUUUAGCUGUAGUGUAUUUAAAGACUUGUUGUAAUAUUGCUUGCACAUUGCAGUUUAGUGUGGAUUCAGAAUUAGAAAUAACUUUACUCAUUGAUGUAUAGCUACCGUGUUGCAGACACAUUUUCAUUUGCCCAGGCGUCACACACACAUAUCUAAAUGUUUUGAAGUUAUAUUACAGUGAUUGUGCAUAUUUUCAAUAGAGAGUGGCACAAUGGCACUUGCACCUUAAAUGGAUUACUUAACAUAAAUCUGUCAAUCUGUCACUCACAGGUACACUAAACACAAAACUAGAGCUGUAUUUACUAUAUGUCAGUGGUUUUAAUUUGAAUUGUUCAUUUCUUAACGUCUUGGAAUGCAUGUCGUAGUUUAUCACUGUUAUCACUAUAACAUGAUACGAGGAGUUGUAACACAUUUCUGAACAAGUGAGCAUCUUGUGUUUGUAUUUUCCUGUAUGUGGAAUCAGGUGCAUUAAAGCUAAUAACACACUACUAUAUGGUUUGUAUUUGUAUUGUUCCACUGUCUUCAUGUAUUCACAGAUGCCAUCAUUUACUUGUAGUUCUGUGACACCACUACAAGCACCACCCACCCAACAUGUCACCACACGGCCAAAAGCUCAUCCAAGCAUACAAAUUCUCUCCACCAUACCAACUGGUUCACAGAAGAAACUCAGCUGAGCAGAAGUUAAAAUAUGGCUGGGCCUUUUGUGCGUUGUAAAGAAAAACUACAGAGCCAUAAAUCUGUUUGUUGUACGAGGCAAUAAACCAAUUCUUUGUAGACACAUUUGUUAACCUCAGUGAUUGUGAAAAUCCCUCCAAGUUUACCACAUCUUUGUGUUUUAAGGAGGACUGCAGUGGACUGAUGCCUGAAAUGCAACUUGCAUUUAAGAUAUCUUUGUAAAUGGAGACAAAAUAUUAACUAGAACCUGUAACCCUUACUAUGGGAAAAGGAAAAACAAAACAGAAAGUGCUCUAAGAUGAGCUUAGUGAUAAAAGCAUGUUUCAGCAUUUCAGCAUCGAUCAUUAACAUGUGUUUUGAUUUGCUUGGACAGACUAGCCAGCACUGACUCAAGUCUCUACCGUUCUGCUUUUGGACCAACGAGUACAAUUUCUGUUUUCUGCUCAUUAGAAAAUUUUACUCAUUCAAAUGUUAAUGUCAGUGAGACAGGUAAAAACAUUUAAGGAACUGUGGUUGUCUGUCAAAACAGAGAUGUAAAGUUGUGUAACAUCAGCAUAACAAUGAUAUUUGACAUAAUGGUGACUAAUUAAGUUGCCUAAACUAACAAAUAUUUUUCUUUCAGACAGGUAUGAGCGAAACCAGUCAAGCACUGAGCCAGACAGACCCACCCAUUUCUCAAGUCAAUUGAUUAAAAUGCCAUGAUCGAUUGUAUCAAAUGCAGCUAAAAUCUAACCAAAAGAGGACUGCUGCAUUGUUUGAGUCAGUUGAAAUUCUUAUAUGUGACAGAACAAGGCCAGUUUGUACAGGUCAAAUCCAGAUCUGCUUGUUGACAUACACUGACCCUGACAUUCAGUAUUAUCACAUUUUAAGUUGUUAUGGGAAACGCGAUAGCAAACAGUUGAUUAUUUACACAUUCAAUUGACCUGGAGCAACAUUAGCAUUUAUUUGGAGUUGUGUUUCUGGCCACCUGGUAAAUGUUAGUCCAAUAUUUACUCUCUUUUUGCUCUCCACCAAUUCCUGA